AUGCCGUUUAAGUGAAUGCUUUGCCACAGUCUUCGAUCAUGUCACAUGAAGCCUGGGCUUAGAUUCACUUAGGCCGGCGU
rfam:Caenorhabditis briggsae complete genome, chrIII